CACUAGUUGUUUGUUUUGAGCUGGCGAUACAUUUUUUAAAGUUUUUGUGUUUAUUACAUGUCUAGUUUAUUGGUCUCUGAUUACAUGUUUUUGAAUUAUUUAAAAUAUUUAAAUAUAAAGAAGAUGAGUGAAAUGAUACCUUAUAAUAGUUUCAAGUGUGUGAAAGUUUGAUAGCCGAGAAGAAAGUAAAUUUGUUAGGUUAUAAUGAAAAACAACAACAUUCAACAAGCUGGCGAGAGGCGCGAAAUGUACUCCUGAGUUGAAGAACCUUAUAAGAUGGUGGGUGACAUUUGGAAUACUGUGUGGUGCUACAUUUGUGACUAGAUUUUACAAAGUUUUGGAACCGGACCAUGUUUGAUGCUGAUAGCUUUGUCUGGAGAGUUAACAGGCUAUGAUGGGUCAUUCCCAUUUGAGAAACCGGGUGAUAAAUAUGGAGGUGACAAGUACCAGGGAAUGAGAUUUGAUGGGAUUGGAGAAGCGAACAACGUGUGGAAGAUCGUGAUAUCGGGCGGCAGGGACGGCUACGAGGUGCAGACUGUUAAGAGCAAACUCAUACUGGUGCACUAUUUACAGUGCCAAAAGUAAGUUUUGAGGCGUACGCGUCGGGUUUUGUAGAACGAUUCUUCGAAUCCCACGCGGUAAUGUUUCAAGGCAACACUGGACUCAAACCCAAGGAGGGGGAGGUCACCUCGCAGCCUUGGCAAUGGCCUAUCAACUAUAGGCGUCAAUUCUUUUCGGACAGUGGACAUCGUAUAUACUUACUGGACAAUCCCAUUGUGUGGUGGAGUAACCUUGUAUUUCUGGGUAUAUUUUUCGUGGUAUAUGUCAUUAACAGCAUCAGAGAGAAGCGAGCUGAAGCCUUUGGCAGACCUUUAUCAAGCAUCCUCACAGAAUACCUUCUGAGCAGUAUCAGGAGUUACCUCAGCGCGGAGAUCGGCAAGACAGCUUACCACUGCAUCUUAGGACUGAUAAUGUCUACGACGGUGUACAGUUUCUAUUUAUUUUCCCCGUUGGCGUACGGCAUGAACGGGCCGCUAGCCAACGAGCCGAACUCCACCAUGGCUGGGUUGAAAUGGCUCGACUCUUGGGAGUUUUGAGCAUGGGCGCCGCCAAAAUUACUUUUAGGGAGGUGCUUCUGCAUAAGGAGGGUACCACAUUAGUAUUUUUUUUUCAAAUAAAUAUCGCGCCGGUAUUUGCAUAUGCUAAACCAUUCCCAUUGUCAUUCAGUUAUGUUUAUUGGGACUUGCUCCAGACAGGUGCACCUCCUUGCACCCACUCCUCGCGCCGCCCAUGGUUUUGAGUCUCGUUGACUAAAAAUAUGUUUCUAUAUUUCUUUAUAAGUUAAAGGGCGAUUUUAAUCUCUGUCACUGUGAUGCUAAUAUCAAAAUUUUAUUGUGUCCGAUUGAUUGUACUUCGAGUCUUUAUUAUGGUACUGGAAUAAAUAUUAUAAGAAUUUUAUGAAUACUAUGAUGCUAGUUUAUGAUAUCAUCAAUUGACGAUAUUGUUUAUGAUAUAGAAAAUAUUUUACAUUGCUUUAUAAUUAUAUUUUUUACGCUGUUUUUCCUGCUUUUCUUUUAUAUUGCAAAUACUCAUUUACAACUUCUAGCUAAUAAUUCAUUCAAGAUUAUAUUCAUUCAUAAAUUAUAUGAAUUUCUAGGUAAUUUAUACUUAGUUUUAUCAAUUUGCUGAUAAUGCGUAAUCGAUUACAGACAAAAUCUAUAUGAUAAGUUUGGAUUAAAUAAAAAUGUGUACAAAACAAAAUUAUCAAUGAAAAGAUAAAAUAUACUCAAUGAAUUCCGUCCUUAAUUAUUAUAUUUAUCUAAAUUGUAAGGGAAAUAAAAUAUUUAUAAUUUGGUGUAGGUGUAGAAUAAAAUGUAGUAUUAUAACUAAUUUAACGUCAACAAUGCCGUCCAAUUGUAAUUUAUUUUGAUUUUAAUUUAUAUUAUAAACGGCACGACUCAUGCGCACAAAUGAACAAUGGUAGAGCGAGAUAGCGUAUGUACAAAUUGAAUGAAAAUGUUUAUUAAUAGUUGCAUGACUAGCCAAUAGACAGCUUCGGUCGAGAAGCCAGUCGCGCGAAACAUUACCGCGUCGGGCGCUGAACCAACCAAUCACAACUGUGCUUUCUACUCGUGCCUCUAUAGAACACAAACUUUUGUGUCAUAGUUAUGCUCACAUAUUUUUGUAUAUUGAAGAUUUUAAUAAAAGUUUUGUAAUAA